UACGGGGGGGGCAAGCGUUGUUCGGAAUUACUGGGCGUAAAGGGCUCGUAGGCGGCCAACUAAGUCAGACGUGAAAUCCCUCGGCUUAACCGGGGAACUGCGUCUGAUACUGGAUGGCUUGAGAUUGGGAGAGGGAUGCGGAAUUCCAGGUGUAGCGGUGAAAUGCGUAGAUAUCUGGAGGAACACCGGUGGCGAAGGCGGCAUCCUGGACCAACACUGACGCUGAGUGAGCGAAAGCCAGGGGAGCAAACAGG
rnacentral:rRNA from 1 species